CACACAGAAGGGGAAGAAAAGAAACGGGGGAAACAGAGAGGGGGAAACGGGAAUAAGAGGAAGGAGAAGAGAGGGACGGGAUGGAAGGGAAGGCGCCGGGAAGACCGUCGUCGCCGUCGCCGUCAGGUGAAGGUGGAGGAGUGCUGAGAGAGAGUCGGACGUGAGGAAGGAGAAGAGAGAUUGAGAGAGGGAGACGGAGAGCUCGAGAGCAAGGAAGGGGAGGAAGGUUGCUCCCGUCAUCACCGCCGAUUCCGCCUAGACCGCCGCCGUCGCCAUUGAGGGAGUCACUGCCUCGGAAUCCUAACCGUCGCUGCUGUCAGAAGAACGAACCUGGAAGGAAAAGGACGAGGUCUGUUCUCGCACUGUCCUACUCCGCCGCCGCCGCUGCCGUCGAUUGGGGUCACACCAUUGCUGUUGCGCCUUGUUUUCUUUGAUUGAGCCACUGUUGAGAGUCUGCCGUCAGAGAAGCAUCGUCGGCAUUGCUGCUGUGAACUAUUUCAGCUACUGCGCUGGUAUUGCUCGGUCACCACCGCCUCCUUCGUCCUUGUCUCUGAAUUCUGUACCAUUCACGACCUAUUUUGAUUAUUGUUAUUCUUGCUUGCCGCUUCUGCCUCUGUCGAUCGAACAGAAUGUGAGAAGGGAGAGGAGUUGUGUUCUUUUGCUGUCGUCGUCGUUGCCGAAACCAGGACAAAUUUACCGAACUAUCAUAGGAGAUAGUGUUGAUGAUAAUAAAGAACUGUUAGAGUUGCUGCUGCUGCUGCUAGUUUGGUUCGAGUCUGUUGCUGCUACAAACUAAAACAAAAGAGGGGUUUGCUGCGCUUAAUUAUCGAAUUUCGGCUAAUCGAGAACUGAUGAGGUAAUCAACACUCAAUUGAUGGUUUCUCGGUAAAUUCUCCAAAAAUGGAUCAAGCAUUUUUCUCCAUAUUUCAGCUGGAAACAAAGAGGUUGUUAUGGCUUAUUGGCAUUACAUUUGCAGUAUGUAAAUUAAAUUAUUAGCGUUAUUAUAGAAUUGUAAUUUUUUUAAUUAUAAUUAUAGCAUGUAAAUAAUUUAUGUAAAUCAAUAAAAAAAUCAAUUCUUUUUAUACUUUCUUAUUUUCUCCCUUCAAAAGUGUGGCUGUCUCCUAUUGGCACGCUUUCGAAGCGUAGCUAACACUAACUCAAUCGGCACGUUUAUAAAAAAGCGUGGUGAAAAAAUAUCGCUGCACUUUUUGCAUAUUUGGAAUGCUUUAAAAGCGUAGCAAAAGCCAGAUUUUCUUGUAGUGUGAGAUACU